GAAAUGCGAUAAGUAAUGUGAAUUGCAGAAUUCAGUGAAUCAUCGAAUCUUUGAACGCACCUUGCGCCCUUUGGCAUUCCGAAGGGCACGCCUGUUUGAGUGUCGUGAACUCCUCCACCCUCUCCUUUUUCGAAAGGUGUUGGGCUGGGAUUUGGGAGCUUGCAGGUCCCUGGCCGAUCUGCUCUCCUUGAAUACAUUAGCGAAGCCCUUGCGGCCUUGGUGUGAUAGUCAUCUACGCCUCGGCUUAGCGAACUUAUGGGAGUCGCUUCUAAUCGUCUCGCAAGAGACAACUUUUACCAACUUGACCUCAAAUCAGGCGGGACUACCCGCUGAACUUAA
rnacentral:misc_RNA from 1 species